rnacentral:rRNA from 1 species
ACGGACUGCGCGAACGUUAUUCGGAAUCACUGGGCUUAAAGCGUCCGUAGGCGGCCGUGCAGGUGGGGUGUGAAAUCCCUCGGCUUAACCGAGGAAUGGCGUUCCAAACCACACGGCUUGAGAGAGAUAGAGGUGAGCGGAACUCACGGUGGAGCGGUGAAAUGCGUUGAUAUCGUGAGGAACACCGGUGGCGAAAGCGGCUCACUGGGUCUCUUCUGACGCUGAGGGACGAAAGCUAGGGGAGCGAACGG